rnacentral:misc_RNA from 1 species
AAGACUAUAGACCUGCGGAGUACCUGCGGAGGGAUCAUUAUCAAUUUACAGCGGACUUCGGUCCUGUCUGCACCCUUGUCUUUUGCGUACUAUAUGUUUCCUCGGUGGGCUUGCCUGCCGAUAGGACACUUAUAAACUCUUUUGUAAUUGCAAUCAGCGUCAGAAAACUAUAAUAGUUACAACUUUCAGCAACGGAUCUCU